AGCGAACGCUGGCGGCAGGCCUAACACAUGCAAGUCGAACGAACCCUUCGGGGUUAGUGGCGGACGGGUGAGUAACACGUGGGAACGUGCCAUUAGGUUCGGAAUAACUCAGGGAAACUUGUGCUAAUACCGAAUGUGCCCUUCGGGGGAAAGAUUUAUCGCCUUUAGAGCGGCCCGCGUCUGAUUAGCUAGUUGGUGAGGUAAAGGCUCACCAAGGCUACGAUCAGUAGCUGGUCUGAGAGGAUGACCAGCCACAUUGGGACUGAGACACGGCCCAAACUCCUACGGGAGGCAGCAGUGGGGAAUCUUGCGCAAUGGGCGAAAGCCUGACGCAGCCAUGCCGCGUGGAUGAUGAAGGUCUUAGGAUUGUAAAAUCCUUUCACCGGUGAAGAUAAUGACUGUAGCCGGAGAAGAAGCCCCGGCUAACUUCGUGCCAGCCGCCGCGGUAACAC
rnacentral:rRNA from 1 species